GGGAGAAUGAGCAUGGCCAAAGAGAACCCAUUUAAAAAUGAAUACGUGGUUGGGGAGCCUUUUUUGCACCGUUGCUCUAACUCUGUUCUUUCUGCUGUCGAGAUUGUAGAAAGCCUUGGGCCCUAGAUUUGGCAGGGUUCUGUCUCAAACCUAGUGAGCUGAGAGGUGGCUAAGGCUCUGAACGAGGUCUUGGGAGAUGUGGAGUUGGUCCCUGUUUUCGCCCAACAUUUCCUGUGUGACCAUGGACAAGUCACUGACUAGACCCUCUUGAGCCUCAGUUUUCCAUGUAUACAAAGGGGGAAGUAAUACUCACUUUCUCCCUCCCUUUGUCUGCUUAGAACAGAAGCUCUUUGGGGGCAGGAACUGACUCUUAAUGAGUGUCUAUGCAGCGCCUAGCGCUACGGAGUUGGCACCACUAGAAACUAAUAGAAUACCCAGAUUAACUGUUUGUAACUUUAUGGCAGUCCCCAAACUAUACACUUAGACUAUGUGUUAGACAAGUUCCUUUGCUUUCUCCAUCUCCAGAUUCUGCAUUCAGUAUCCAAGAGCAAAUGACUAAAUAUGGAGUUCAACCCUUCCCCUUGAAAGGAUGAACACACAGGCUUAUGAACCCUGUGAACUUGGCAAGCUUUUAAAGCGACAGUGUGAGCUUGCUGUCUCCACGGAUGAGCUUUCUGGGGCUCUUUCAGCCAUGAACCCAUUCAGUUGCACAGAGAAUGUGGACCAGAGCGUUCGGCUGUUCAUAAAUUUGUAACAGCACCUUCCUCCAGGCAAAUAUUAAAUACCUUCGCCUACUGUGUUAGGGAUCUCUUUCCAUUUUUUAGCUAAUGUAUAAAAUGAAUAAAGAGACUGGUAAGGCUGGUGAAAAGAGGACGAGGACGGCAGGAGCAGACAAAGAUCCGUCCACGUCGAAAUGAAAACAACGGGAGAGCACCCCCGAUAGAGUAUUGAAGACUCGAGGUGAACUUUCACCAAAAGAGAAGCCAUCUACUUUCAAAAAAGCCUUUCAAGACUCAUGGCUUCAAUAAGGUAAAUACCAAGACUGGCUGCAGAAAGUAGAAAACAAUCGUUUUUUUGCUUAUUGCAAAUGUUGUGCUGUAAAAAUCCAGGCACGUACUAGUGAGUUAGAUACGGAUGCUAAUGGUAAAAAACAUAAACAAAAGGUUGAGACAGUAUCUAAUACAAAGAAAAUUGAUGAUAUGUUUAAUAAACAAGAUUGUGAAAUUAAAAAAGCAAAAACAUUUGAAGAGCAAGUUAAAAAUGCAGAGAUUAGAAUGGCCUGUUACUUUGCUGAACACAAUGACAGUAUUAAGUCGGUAGAACACUUGACUGAAGUAGUUUAAAAAUGUUUCCCUGAUUCCAAAAUUGCUGAGGCUGUAACAUUAAAGAAAGAUAAAUGUACUGGUAUAAUUAGCAAUGUUUUGGUGCAAACUGAGACUGAGGAACUUGUAGACAAUUGAAAGUUAAUGAAUUUAGAUUAUUCAGGUCAAUUCAUGUUUGCAAAUAUAUCUGAACUGGCUAAAAAGGUUUUCACAUUACCGCAUUCAAAUGCAGCAUGUGAAAGAAUUUUUUCCAUGGUAACUGACAUAAAAAGAAACUGUAUGACAACCAAAACACUCAAUUCUAGUGUAGUUAUAAAGUCAGCUUUGAAAGCAAAGCAAGAGAAAUGUUCUAAUUUUGUAAUUACUAUUAAGCACUUGUAUUGUAAAAAUAAGUACAGUAAAAAUAACAGUGAUAAAACUAGUAAAAUAUUAAUGAUGGUAAUGAUGUUGCUAGUGACAACUCAGACCGUGAGUCAGAAAAUGGAUAAAAUUCAGAUUAUAAUAAGGAAAAUUAUAUAAAAGAGUGUUAUUUGUUCUGUUUGCCUUUCUAUCUUAUUUUGUAAUAUGUUUAUUUUUUAUUUUUUUCAAAGUAACUUUGAUGUACAGUACACUGCAGGGCACAUGCUGUACUUAUUAAUACUUUUGUUUUUAAAAUAGUGAAAUUUGUGUAAAAUACAUUGUUUUCUAUAAUUUCAAUCCUACUCUUCAUGAGUUAAAUAUUUUAUUUACUGUAUAAGUAACAUAAGUUUAAAAUUGAAAGACAUGUCUA